AAACUCACCAGGUCAGGACACGGUAAGGAUUGACGGACUGAAGGCUCUUUCUCGAUUCCGUGGAAAGUGGUGCAUGGCCGUUUUGGUUGGUGGAUCGAUCCGUCUGGUUAAUUCCGUUAACGAACGAGACCUCGGCACUCCGAAUAGCGCGGCGGACGUCGCGGCCUCCGGGCCGUCUUCCGCACGAGCUUCUUAGAGGGACCGUCCCCCGCCGGGGAAGGAGGUGCGAGGCAACGACAGGUCUGUGAUGCCCUUAGAUGUUCUGGGCCGCACGCGCAUUACACUGACGCGUUCCAACGGGUGACUCCCGACCCGAAGGGGCCGGGGAAUCCGCAAGGCGCGUCGUGAUGGGGAUUGAACGUUGCAAUUGUUGUUCACGAACGAGGAAUUCCUAGUAGGCGCGGGUCAUCAACCCGCGCCGAUUACGUCCCUGCCCUUUGUACACACCGC
rnacentral:rRNA from 1 species